rnacentral:rRNA from 1 species
UACAGAGGUCCCAAGCGUUGUUCGGAUUCACUGGGCGUAAAGGGUGCGUAGGUGGUGAGGUAAGUCGGAUGUGAAGGCUCGGAGCUCAACUCCGAAAUGGCAUUGGAAACUACCUUGCUCGAGGGUUGGAGGGGGGACUGGAAUGCUUGGUGUAGCAGUGAAAUGCGUAGAUAUCAAGCGGAACACCAGUGGCGAAGGCGAGUCCCUGGACAACUCCUGACACUGAGGCACGAAAGCUAGGGGAGCAAACAGG